rnacentral:rRNA from 1 species
UACAGAGGUCUCAAGCGUUGUUCGGAUUCAUUGGGCGUAAAGGGUGCGUAGGCGGCGCGGUAAGUCGGGUGUGAAAUCUUGGAGCUUAACUCCGAAACUGCAUUCGAUACUGCCGUGCUUGAGGACUGGAGAGGAGACUGGAAUUUACGGUGUAGCGGUGAAAUGCGUAGAUAUCGUAAGGAAGACCAGUGGCGAAGGCGGGUCUCUGGACAGUACCUGACGCUGAAGCACGAAGGCCUGGGGAGCGAACGGG